ACUGGGUACAGUGGUGCAUGCCUGCAAUCCCAAUCACUUGGGAGGCUGAGGCAGGAGGAUCACAAGUUUGAGGCCAGUUUAGCAAGUGAGCAAGGCCUAAGCAUCUUAGUGAGACCCUGUUUCAA
rnacentral:sRNA from 1 species